AGUGAACGCUGGCGGUAGGCCUAACACAUGCAAGUCGAACGGCAGCACAGUAAGAGCUUGCUCUUACGGGUGGCGAGUGGCGGACGGGUGAGGAAUACAUCGGAAUCUACUUUUUCGUGGGUGAUAACGUAGGGAAACUUACGCUAAUACCGCAUACGACCUACGGGUGAAAGCAGGGGAUCUUCGGACCUUGCGCGAUUGAAUGAGCCGAUGUCGGAUUAGCUAGUUGGCGGGGUAAAGGCCCACCAAGGCGACGAUCCGUAGCUGGUCUGAGAGGAUGAUCAGCCACACUGGAACUGAGACACGGUCCAGACUCCUACGGGAGGCAGCAGUGGGGAAUAUUGGACAAUGGGCGAAAGCCUGAUCCAGCAAUACCGCGUGGGUGAAGAAGGCCUUCGGGUUGUAAAGCCCUUUUGUUGGGAAAGAAAAGCAGCAGGUUAAUACCCCGCUGUUCUGACGGUACCCAAAGAAUAAGCACCGGCUAACUUCGUG
rnacentral:rRNA from 1 species